rnacentral:rRNA from 1 species
UUUGACAUGUACGGAAUCCUUUAGAGAUAGAGGAGUGCUCGAAAGAGAACCGUAACACAGGUGCUGCAUGGCUGUCGUCAGCUCGUGUCGUGAGAUGUUGGGUUAAGUCCCGCAACGAGCGCAACCCUUGUCAUUAGUUGCUACAUUCAGUUGGGCACUCUAAUGAGACUGCCGGUGACAAACCGGAGGAAGGUGGGGAUGACGUCAAGUCCUCAUGGCCCUUAUAGGUGGGGCUACACACGUCAUACAAUGGAUGGUACAAAGGGUCGCCAACCCGCGAGGGGGAGCCAAUCCCAUAAAGCCAUUCGUAGUCCGGAUCGCAGUCUGCAACUCGACUGCGUGAAGUCGGAAUCGCUAGUAAUCGUGGAUCAGAAUGCCACGGUGAAUACGUUCCCGGGUCUU